GAAAUGCGAUAAUUAAUGUGAAUUGCAGAAUUCAGUGAAUCAUCGAGUCUUUGAACGCACAUUGCGCCCCCUGGUAUUCCGGGGGGCAUGCCUGUCCGAGCGUCAUUGCUGCCCUCAAGCACGGCUUGUGUGUUGGGCUUCCGUCCCUGGCAACGGGGACGGGCCCAAAAGGCAGUGGCGGCACCAUGUCUGGUCCUCGAGCGUAUGGGGCUUUGUCACCCGCUCCCGUAGGUCCAGCUGGCAGCUAGCCUCGCAACCAAUCUUUUUAACCAGGUUACCUCGGAUCAGGUAGGGAUACCCGCUGAACUUAAGC
rnacentral:misc_RNA from 1 species